UGUUGACAUCACUGAUGCACACCCACUGCCCGUCGACUGAUUCCUUCCACAAGGUCACCUGCAAACCAGCACACACAGUCUGUCACAGGUCUGCACCCCUUAUACCAAAGAGACCCCGACAGACUGCACUGGACAGGCUUCAGACUGACAACCCUAAUUGACACACAGGAAGUCCCCAGCUCUCCUUGUCUGCAGAACAAAACCAGUGGCCUCACCUGACCAGGAUAUUCUGUGCACACUCUUGCCUGAUACAGUUCUCCAACCAGCCUUACUCUGCGUCCUGUUCUACUGCCCCAACUACAGUUGAGUAGAGAGCCACCCUGUCACAACCUCAAGCAAUUGCCCUGCUCUCAUGCUGUUACCAGCAGACAUCCAAAACCUCUAAAUAAAGUCUGGAAGAGGAGACCACUUCCUCCAAUGUACAUGUACCAAUAUAAGGAAUCAAGGAUCAGGAAAAAUCAGGUAAAUACUACACCACCAGAGGAAACAGAUCUAUCAAAGUACUUAGAAUAAUCCUCUUAAAAACACACAGACAGCUAAAUGAAAUUAGAAAAACAAUGCAUGAACAAUACAAGUUUGACAGAGCAACAGAACUACCAAAAACCCCAACAAAUUCUAGAGUUUGCUUCAAAAGCAGGACCUUUGACAUUAUCCAGUCAGGGGAGUUACAGGAAUUCCAAGAGAAAGGGACAGGCAAUAAAUUUAAAGCAAUAAUGGCUAAAAACUUCGCAAACUUGGAGAGAGAAGACAUCCAGAUACAGGAGACCCAAAGAAUCCCAAAUAAGCAGAACUCAUCAGGCUACACUGAGACACAUUAAAUUGUCUAUUGUACAAAUUGUCAUUAUACCUGUGAAGUAGUCCUUCAGAAAUGAAGGGAGAUUUUCUUGAACAAAUAAAUGCUAAAGGGAGUUCUUUGAGUGGAAGCAAAAGGAUGCUAAUUAACAUCAUCAUACAAACUGAAUGGUAAAAACAGUCACAGUUGGAUUCUAUAAUAUGGUAAUUAUUUUUUGCCUUUAAAAUACUGUUGUAAGUAACCAUAGUAACCACAAACAACAUUUGUUACACAUAAAAUACAUAAAUUGAAACAUGAAUAACCUAAAAUGCUAAGGGGAUUAGUUUAUCAAAACACUUUUUUGAUUAAAAAGUCAAGGCAUACUGAUACCACAAAACAUCAAAACAUACAAAAAGCAGGAUAAGAAGCAAGGAAAUGACAAAAGUCCUUAUUAAUAAUUACUUUCAAUGUAAAUGGAUUAGCUUAUCUAAAGCCAGGAUGGCUGAAUGGAUAAAAACAUAAGAUCCAACAAUAUGCAGGUAUAGAAGAUACACCCUAGCCUUAAACAACACACACAGACUGAGAGUGAAGGGAUGGAAAAAAUAUUUCAAGCUGAUGGUAACCAAAAAAGAGUGGGGGAUAGUUAAGGGUUCAAUACAUCAAGACUACGUAACAAUUGUAAAUAUCAGUGCCCAAAGAAAACCAGAGCUAAAAGGAGACUGUAACACCCUACUCUCAACAGAAGGCUUAUUAGACCACAAAACAAGUCUUGAUGACUGAAAUUAUACCAAGUAUCUUCUCUAACCACAAUGGCAUAUAACUAGAAAGUUAAUGAAUACAUAAACAGUUUUUGAACAACUGUAUCAAAAAGUAUUUUGAAACAAAAAUGGAAAUAUACCAAAACUUAUUAGACGCAGCAAAACAGUUUUAAAAGGGAUGUUCACAGCAAGAUUCUAAAUAAUUACCAAAUUCUACACCUUAGGGAAUAAAGAACCCGAGUCCAAAUUAGCAAAUAGAAGGAAAUAACAGAUUAGAGCAGAAACAAAUCAUAGACCAGAAAAACAGAAUAACCCCAAAAAGCUGGUUCUUUGAAAAGAUAAAAAUGGCAACCAAGACUAACCAAGUUAAAGAAAGGACUCAAAAACAAGUGAAAAAAGAAAACAGUACAACUGAUACCACAGAUACAAAGAACCACUGUGGCUACUAUAAAUAACUGCCAACAAACUGGACAAAUUCUAAGAAACAUACAACAUAACAAUCAGAAAGAAACAAAAUCUGAGUAAUUUUCUAUAAAAAUAAACUAGAAAAUAAUUGUAGGGAGAGUGAAUCAGUAAUCACAACAUACAAAAGCCCAAGAGCAGAGGGCUUCACUGGUGAACUUGACCAGUUAAAGAAGGAUUAAUGACCAUUCUUCUCCAACUCUUCCAAAACAACAAAGAGAAGGAAACACACCCAAACUCAUUUUAUUGGGACAGGAGAACUGACUGACACUAAAACCAGAAAAAUACACUAUCAGAAACUACAAACCAAUGUCCUUGAUGAAUAUAGAUGCGAAAACUGUCAAAAAUAAUAGAAAACCAAAUUCAGCACAUCAAAGGAUUAUUCACCACGAUAAAAUGGGAUUUAUACCUGGGAUGCAAAGAUGAUUCAACUUAUAAAAACCAAUGUGAUACAUUAAUAGAAUGAAAGAAAAUAACAAGAUCCCCUCAAUAGAUACAGGAAAAGCAUUUGACAAAAUUCAACAUCUUUUCAUGAUAAAAGCUUAAUAAAUUAGAUAUAGAAGGAAUGUACCUCAACAUAAUGAAAGUCAUAUAUGGUAAGUCCACCAGCUAACAGAGUAACUAGUCAGGUUUUCUCUCUGAAACUGUAGAGUAAUGCCCACUCUUAGUACUCCUAUGCAACAUAAUAUUGGAAGUCCUACCUCGAGCAACCAGGCAAGAGAAAUGAAACUGUCUUAUUGGUAGAUGACAUGAUUUAAUACAAACAAAAUCUUAAAAACUCCACUAAAAAACUGUUGGAUCUAAUCAAUGAAUUUAGUAAAGUUGCGGGAUAUAAAAUCAACACAAAAAUUGGUAGUAUUUCUAUAUACUGACUAUCUGACCAAGAAAAUUUCCAUUUAUAAGAGCAUCAAAAACAAUAAAAUGAAUAAACUUAACCAAGGAGGGGAAAGAUCUCUAUUGUGAAAACUGUAAGACAUUCAUGAAGGAUAUCAAAGACACAAAUAGAUACUCAUGUCAAGAGAUUGGAAGAAUUAAUGUUACUACUACCAAAAGCCAUCUACAGAUUCAGUGUAAUCCCUAUCAAAAUACCAAUGGCACUUUUCACUGAACUAGAGCAAAUAAUUGUAAAAUUUAUUUGGAACCACAAAAAUCCUGAAUAGCCCAAGCAAUCUUGAGAAAGAUGGGGGGUAUCACUCACACACGCUGGUUUCAAACUAUACUACAAAGCUACAGUAAUCAAAACAGUAUGGUUUUGAUUACCACAGGAACAGACUCAUAGACCAAUGGGACAAAAUAAAGAGCCCAGAAAUAAAUCCACAUCUGUACUGUCAAUUAAUAUAUGACAAAGGAGGCAAGGAUAUAUGAUGAGUAAAAGACAUUCUUCAAUAAAUGGUGCUGGGAAAACUGAACAGCUACAUGUAAAAGAAUGAAACUGACACUGUCUUACACCAUACACAAAAAUAAACUCAAAAUGGAUUAAAGACCUAAACAAGAUCUGAAACCAUAAAACUCCUACAAGAAAACAUGGGCAGUGCACUCUUGAACAUCAGCACUAUUAAUUUUUUCUGGAUAUGUCUUCCUGAGAAAGGGAAACAAAAGCAAAAAUAAGUGGGACCCCAUCAAACUAAAAAGCCACUGCACAGCAAAGGACACCAACAAAACCAAAAGGCAACCUACUGUCAGAGAGAAUAUAUUUGCAAAUAAUAUAUCAGAUAAGGGGCUCAGCAUCCAAAAUAUAUGAAGAACUCAUACAACUCAACACUGCAAAAAUAAUACAAUUUAAAAAAAGGGCAGGGGACCUAAAUAGACAUUUUUCCCAAGAAGGCAUACAGAUAGCCAACAGACACCCAAAAAGAUGCUCAUGAGGGAAAUGCAGAUCAAAACCACAAUGAGAUAUCACCUCACAGAAUGAAUAAAUCAACAAGAAAUAACAAGUGCUGGUGAGGAUGUGCAGAAAACUGAGCCCUUGUACACACUGCUGGUAGGAUUGCAGAUUGGUGCCGCCACUAUGGAAAGUAGUAUGGCCAUUUUUCAAAACACUAAAAAUAGAAAUACUAUAAGAUCCAGCAAUUCUAAUUCUGGGAAUUUACCCCAAGAAAACAAAAAUCACUAACCUGAAAAGAUAUACACACUCCUGUCUAUUGCAGCAUUAUUUACAAUAGCCAAGCUAUGGAAGCAACCUAAAUGUCCAUGAACAGAUGGAUGGAUAAAGAUGAUGUGGUACAUACACAUAAUGGAAUAUUACUCAGCCAUAAAAAAGAAAUGAGGUCCUGCCAUCCAUGAGACAACAUGAAUGGACCUAGAGGGUAUUAUGCCAAGUAUAAUAAAAAAAAAUACUGUUCCUACUCAUAUGUGGAAACUAAACCAAAAAAUGGGAACAUUCAUGAAGACAGAAUGGACUGGUGGUUACUGUAGGGGAGUGGGAUAGGGAAAUGGGUGAAAUAGGUGAAGGGAAAAAUAUUAGAGUGUUUGAAAUCAGUCUGCAUCAUGUAUACAUGUGAGUAUAUGCAUGUCAAAAUUCAUCAAGCUGUACACUUAAAUUUGCAUUUUACUGUAUGUGCCUUAAUAUACAAAAUAAAAAUAUUAAAAACUGCUACAAUUUGAUAAUUGAUAGAGGAAGACAGCAGAUCAGUUAAGUAUGUCAUUUAGUAAAUAGUGGAAAAAGCAGCUAAGAGCUGAAAAAGUGUGCUCCUGGAGAGUAAGAAUUAGCAUACUGUUAAAAAAAAUCAUUAAUAAAACCUACAAAACUAGGUACAUGUAUUGACAGAAAAAAUAAUUUUAAGAAUUCCUGCUUUAGGUACAGACUUUAUUCACUAAACAUGCAUUGUGCAGAGUACUAUGGAUUGAAAACAUACUCAGAGAUGGAAUGCUAUGGAGACAGCAGUAGAGUUCCUUGUAGGAAACAGGCUUACAAAGAAGAUAAGGAAGCAUAAAAGCAUAGUGACAGAAGACCCUAGAACAUGGAAUAUACAGCCAGGCACUUGGUUAUGCCUUGUAAGCAUUUCUGUAGGGCUCCCUGAGGCAAGUCAGGAGCCUGUUGCUUCUCCUGGGUGCCACCAAACCUGGGCUCUAGUCUUGACUUUGGAACUCCUAUAGCAAUAAAGAGGUUUGGAUUACUUGUCCUUUGAGGGUCACUCCAGCUCCAAGAUGAACUUGAGAUGGGGCCUGCUUGAUCUCUUUGGGGCCACUGUACACAAAAAUGACCCUAGGCUGGGUAAAAGCCACCUGCAGAGGAUCUUAAAGAGAUAUUUACCCACCAUGUAGACAGCAGCAUUAUUCAGCAAUAGCCAAAAGAAAGACUUCAAUAUCCAUCAACAGAUUAAUAGAUAACAAUGGAAUAUUAUUCAGCCUUAAAAAAGAAGGAAACUGAUGACAUGCUACUGCAGAGAUGACCUCCAACUUGUGACUGGCUUAUUAUGGUACUCAUAUGAGGUCCCUAGAGGAGUCCACUUCCAAGAGAAAGCAGAACAAUGGUUGCGAGAGGGAGCGGGGAGUAGUUUAACAGAGUUUCAGUUGGGGAAGAUGAGUUCUGGAGAUGGAAGAUGGUGGUGAUUGCACAACAGUGUGUACGUAACACUAACUGCAUUGUUCACUUAAAAAUGAUUAAGAUGGUAAACACCAGAAGGCAGAUCCAAGAUGGAAGUGUGAAAAGCCCUCCCCCAUAUACACGCCAAGUCUACACCUACACCUAGAGCAAGUCAUCUUGGGGAAGAAUGAAAGCAUAAGUGAACACCUGCACCAUAAGAUUAAAAAAAAAUACACAUAAAAAAUGGCAGGAGAAAUGGAGACCCAGUAACAGAGAGACCCAUCCCCAGGGCAGCCAUGCAGUAGGGAGGGAUAUCACUGAGCUAUCAGAACACAGACUCACCUGCCCUGGGGCACAGAAAAAAGGUGAAGUUGGAAGAGUUAAACCUGACUGCCAAAUGGCAAAGGAAGAGCUGGAACUCUCUCUGGGAUGGGAGGAGCUGUUAAGUGCCACUGUUCGCAUUCUCCCUGGACACUCCUAGCUUGGAUGGGAGCGGGGC